rnacentral:rRNA from 1 species
UACGGGGGGGGCAAGCGUUGUUCGGAAUUACUGGGCGUAAAGCGCGCGCAGGCGGUUUCUUAAGUCUGAUGUGAAAGCCCACGGCUCAACCGUGGAGGGUCAUUGGAAACUGGGGAACUUGAGUGCAGAAGAGAAAAGCGGAAUCCACGUGUAGCGGUGAAAUGCGUAGAGAUGUGGAGGAACACCAGUGGCGAAGGCGGCUUUUUGGUCUGUAACUGACGCUGAGGCGCGAAAGCGUGGGGAGCAAACAGGG